rnacentral:rRNA from 1 species
UACGAAGGGGGCUAGCGUUGUUCGGAAUUACUGGGCGUAAAGGGCGCGUAGGCGGCGCUACAAGUUAGGUGUGAAAGCCCUGGGCUCAACCCGGGAAUUGCACUUGAUACUGUAGUGCUUGAGUUCGGGAGAGGUGAGUGGAAUUCCCAGUGUAGAGGUGAAAUUCGUAGAUAUUGGGAAGAACACCAGUGGCGAAGGCGGCUCACUGGACCGACACUGACGCUGAGGCGCGAAAGCGUGGGGAGCAAACAGG